rnacentral:tRNA from 1 species
UGUAGCUCAGCGGUAGAGCACUCGCCUAGUAUGUGUGAGGCCCUGAGUUUGAUCCUCAGCA